UACGUAGGGGGCAAGCGUUGUCCGGAAUCAUUGGGCGUAAAGAGCGUGUAGGCGGCUCGGUAAGUCCGCUGUGAAAGUCCAGGGCUCAACCCUGGAAUGCCGGUGGAAACUGCCGAGCUAGAGUCCGGAAGAGGCGAGUGGAAUUCCUGGUGUAGCGGUGAAAUGCGCAGAUAUCAGGAGGAACACCGGGGCGAAGGCGG
rnacentral:rRNA from 1 species